GCUCUUUCUUCCUUGUCCUUCUCGGCCUAUAUGUGGAGGGUUGGCGCAAGCCAACUAUGGCGAUAAAUGGCCGUCGUAAUAAGCCUAUCGGACCCGGGGGCAGUACCCGGCGCCUCCACCAUUCUGGAGCGGUCAGUCGUUGGCUGACUUCGAUGCGGGGGCGAAACAGGAUCGACGAGGGUGUAAAGGGCACGCUUUUGCUCGGCAUGGUUCCGCCGUUAUCGGGCCAAAUUCAUAGUUGCCAACGACAACUAUGCUCCGGUUGCUCUGGCCGCGUAAGCGGUCCGAAAUACCGAUCUAAAGUCCUGAUGUCUUAGCAGCAUCAGGCGGGGUUCGGGGGCACCUGGCAACAGAAGCCCCCACU
rnacentral:tmRNA from 1 species